rnacentral:tRNA from 1 species
GGCCGUUAGCUCAGUGGGUGAGAGCGCGGUGCUAAUAACGCCAAGGUCGCGGGUUCAAUCACCGUACGGGCCA